rnacentral:rRNA from 1 species
GUACUUUCAGCGGGGAGCGAAGGUGUUGAGGUUAAUAACCUCAGCAAUUGACGUUACCCGCAGAAGAAGCACCGGCUAACUCCGUGCCAGCAGCCGCGGUAAUACGGAGGGUGCAAGCGUUAAUCGGAAUUACUGGGCGUAAAGCGCACGCAGGCGGUCUGUCAAGUCGGAUGUGAAAUCCCCGGGCUCAACCUGGGAACUGCAUUCGAAACUGGCAGGCUAGAGUCUUGUAGAGGGGGGUAGAAUUCCAGGUGUAGCGGUGAAAUGCGUAGAGAUCUGGAGGAAUACCGGUGGCGA